UCAAACAAGCAGCGGGUUCGAGUUG
rnacentral:piRNA from 1 species